UGUCAGCUGGUCCUAUACCAGCUGGAACUCAAGGCCCUCAGUUGUGGGCUAAUUAAUAUUUUUUGUCUUGUAUGCGUCUGCAGCUAGUCCUGAUGCGCGUGCUUAGCUGUGUGUGACAGUGACGCCCUUGAUGCGUGGUUGGCUCUGCAGCAGUACUACAAACUCAUUAGAUAGCAGAUGUGAGGUGUCCCAGCUAUCACAGCAUCAGACCAAGAAGACAUUCUUAACCAGAAGAACUUACAGUAGUGAGUGCAUAAAUGGGAAUCGAAGACUCAAUCCUGGCACUGCAAGUGCCAUGCUCUACCAAGUGAGCCACACGGAACACACAGGGCUUAUCCUGAAGUAACCUGGCAGUUCGCUCCAGGUAGAAGACUGGAGAAACAGACGCAUUGUCUUCUUUGGCUUUUCACAACAGAGAUUGAGACUCGCACACAAACGCACAAGUUAGUGCAUGCAAGAGUGCAUGUGCACGCACACACGCACACGGCUCCCCGUAGCUAGCGGUAUAAUUGCCUUGAAAUGUAAUUACAGUCUUACACGCUGUGGGGAUUGUGUCUCUGAUUCCAGCUGUAAAUUUGUGUCUUCGUCACACCUCCUGACUUAAACACAUUCCUAUUGUGUAGUUUUGUGCUUCAUUAUACUCAUUAUGUGGAUAUUUAUUCAAAUUUCUUUAUAUUUCUUUAUUAAUUUCUCAUGGAUGUCAUAUUACUGAAGCUUUCGUGUUUUCACUCUGUGUGUAAAUGAAAAGCACUCUACAAAUGCAAUUUAUUAUUGUAAUUAUUCAUAUUAUUAUAGGGUUGUGUGUGUGGAUGUAGAGUAAGUGUGUACUGUGUCUCACCUGGAAACAGAGUCGUGUGUGUGUGUAUAUAUGUACAAGUAACUGCCAAAAUAAAGGAAACACUUGAUCAAAUGAAAGUAGUUGCUUCCACACAGGUGUGGUUCCUGAGUUAAUUAAGCAAUUAACAUCCCAUCAUGUUUAGGGCCAUGUGUAAAAAUGCCCAGUUGCCCAUCAUUUGGGCUACUAUGUCGAGAAGCAAUAGUUUCUAACUAUUUUGCUUAGCUCUGAGAAAAGCAUGGGGGACUGCUCUUGAUAAAUCAAUGAGAUUUUUUAUUUUGACUGAAUCUCCGUUUGGGUAUUGGUUAGACUACAAUUAUACAAUUA